UAUAUAUAUAAAAGAUUUAUUAGGGUUGAUCCUCUCUGAAAUUGAAGGGAUAGUUUUGAAGUCCCAAAAAUUUAAAAGCUGAUUCUCCUGUCAAUUUGAGAUUUUUGGUGAAUUUUCUAGACCCUUCUUCAUCAUCUUCGAUUUGAAUAGUUUUUGGAAAAGUUGUAACUGGAUGUUGUUGUGACUUAGGUUGAUCGUGCUUCUCCCUAAUAGUGCUUUAGUUCUGGAUUGUUUUCAGCUUUGGUAGAAGAGUUUGGUAAGCUUCAUCUUAUUCCUUUUUAAAUUUUCUUCC
rnacentral:lncRNA from 1 species